rnacentral:rRNA from 1 species
GACGUAGGGCGCAAGCGUUGUUCGGAUUCAUUGGGCGUAAAGGGUGCGUAGGCGGCGGGGCAAGUCAGGUGUGAAAUCUCGGGGCUCAACUCCGAAACUGCAUUUGAUACUGCCUUGCUAGAGUACUGGGGAGGAGAUUGGAAUUUACGGUGUAGCAGUGAAAUGCGUAGAUAUCGUAAGGAAGACCAGUGGCGAAGGCGAAUCUCUGGACAGUUACUGACGCUGAGGCACGAAGGCCAGGGGAGCAAACGGG